rnacentral:lncRNA from 1 species
CAGGAAACCAUUAGUAUUUCAACAAGAGAACGCAGCAGUUUAAUAAUCAUCCCUAUUCAGGAUGAUUCAAAUUUUGGUGCUAAAGAACCAUCAUCUCCUGCCCCAGCACCUGCUCACCAUCAUCUUGCAUAUCAAAGUCAACCAGUGAUAUCAUGCCCUUCUCAUAUGAUGCCUCCGGAGCAACACGUACCACCUCCAUCUCCUCCACCACUACCAAGCCAUCCAAUGUCAUAUUCUCUCCAGAAUUCAGGUACUCCUCACCUGGUUUGCAGUUAAGUGCCGCCUCCACCCAUGACUUCUGAUCCAUCACCAAUGACUUCUUCCUCUGGAUGUAUUAUUGCCCAGGUGCCACCUUAUAUUACUCCUCCUCCUCCAAGGUCUCCUCUGUCUCAAAAUGGUGGUCCACCUGUAAGGGAAUUCCCUUUGAACCGUUGUAAUCCUAACUCUUUAUCCAAGUUCAUUGAAGAACAGGAAACUCUGAGCCCUCCAUUUACACAACCAGAUGGAACAAAUCCUGGUAUAUGGCGUGUAUCAAAAGAACAUUUACCUCCUCCACCAAUGCAAGCUCCACCUUCCCCAUUUCCACUGCCUGGCUCACAUUCAGAUCAGACAAGAUAUAGACCAUAUUAACAAUGAUAAUAGUAUUUUGAACUGAAGAGCUGAUAAGGUAAAAACCUUAAAUAUAGUCAAUCUUUUAAUUAAACUUUGACCAUUUUGGGAAGGAAAAGCUGUAAAACACUGAGGAUCUUGUCUCUUAAAAUGGUUUAAGCCUUGACUUUACCAUUUAUUUCAAGUUCUGUAACGUAGUGUGGAUAAAUGGCUCAGCUGAGCAUAGCUGUAUUUUAACAACUUUGUUCCCUUAGUGUGGGAAAUUGACCCAGAGGUGACCUUUUGUAAUAUGAAUUCCUGAAAUAAGUGUGCAUUGUUCCACUUUCAAAAGUAUUGUUUUUGUUUAUUUUUUUGUGAUUAUUUUGUUAACCUGUGUCAAAGGUUUAAAUUUCAAUAUGGUUGUAAAAAUGCCAUUUUUAUGUGAAUUUAAGCACAGUCACAUACUGUUUUUUUAAAAAACCAUGUUUUACUACUAAUUUCACAAAGUACAAUAAAAAUCCUACAAGUGAAAAUCUAGAAUAUACUGUAAGGCAGACAGCUAAAUGAUAGAGAAUUAUUUUACAUUUUAGGCACUGAAAUUUUGAGGUAUAAUAAGUAUAUAAUGCCUUUCAUUUGGAUGCCUUUCAUUUCUAGGCAGCCCCAGAAGCACCAAAAUACAUCGGAAUUCCAGUACUAUGAUAGAUUUAUGUUUGUAAUGUUAAAAGGCAUUACUAAAUCAUUUGGAAAGAUAUGGCUAAAGUAAUUGACUCUGUAGGCUCCAAGCUAGUGGGGAUGCUGUUACUUGUUAAUACUUUUUUUUCAGAAUGGUUGGAAUCACAUAAUGCACCACACUUCUUAGUCUUAAGUAACGUUAUAUUAUAGCACUGUUUAAAUGGUGUCAUUUGGAUGAAGUGUGUACUACUCUGCUCAUUGUCUUAAACUAAAUAUUUAGGGCUGAAUAGACUUUAGUAUAAUUCCUCAUUUCAUGGUAGAGUUUGGUCCCCUUCUUAUGGUUUCUUGUUUAUUGGGUUUUAAACUACAACUUAAGUUCCAUGGAGGAAUUUGAAUAAUGUAUUCAUGAUAGGCAUUCUUAUAGUUACAACUUGCAUUUGCUUGGGUUUCAUUAUUGUGUGAUAAAUGUUUUCCCUCUAAAUUGAAAUAAAACACUAUUCUUUCCUAUUUCUUUUACUGGUAAAGGAUGCUAAACUUGGAACAUUUUAUCAUGAAGUUAACAGUGAAGACUCCCAGAUGACUUUGUAUUGGAGAAGAGAAAAGUAAUGGCCAAACUAUAUGAAUUUCACUGCUUUAUAAGGUGUCUUUAGAAUCACUUUUGCGUCACAGGGACUUGUUAUAUUCCUGCUAAGGUGACCACUUACACUUUAUACAGAAUUCAUAUGGAUGAAUUAAGAUUCUUAGGAUAUUACUAUAUAUCAUUUGAAUAAACCAUCAUGAAGUUUUCCUCCCCAAAUGGUACCUAAUAUAAACAUGAAAUGUCUAGUGUAUGGAUACAAUCUGUUAGAUAGUUUAUAGCAUAUAAAUUUAGAACAUAUUUCUUUUUGGCAAAGGAUGAACUGAUGGCUAAUUUAUCAUUUUAUUCUGUUGGAUAAAGGCAAAACCAAAUUCUUAUUUUGGCUGAUCAGAUGCAAACAUAUCUAUGAGCUUAGAGCUGAAGUUAGAAAUAAUAUAAAUGGCCGUUUUAACCUUGACCAGCCUAAAAUAACUAAUAUACUUUUUUGUAAAAGUAAGUGAUUUUUCACACCUAGCAAUUUGAGAAUCCAGUGUUAAUGCAAUAUUUCUAGUGAGAAAGCCUUGUUAUUAGAAGUACUGAGUGUAAUAGUGUGAAAUAUUAGUGGUAAAUGCUUCUAUCAUAUUAUUGUAUGUCCUUGGACUGGUACAAACUUGAUUCCUUUUUUUGCCUGAGUUCAGAAGCUGUUAUAAUAUUACUGUUAAAAUACAGCACCGUUCUUUGUUUCCUGUAAUAAAAAAAAAUAGCCAAAUUCACUGUAAGUCUUCUCAGCUAUCUGUGAAGAGCUCUCCUGCUUUUAUUGAAAUUCACUAGGGUUGAAUGCGGCAUGAAACCACUUAGAUGAUGUAUUGGAUCAAAAAAUCAGUAUUGUGAUAAAAUUUCACAUGUUAAAAGAGGUAGACUUUUAAAAAAUGGUGUAUUUUCAGUUAGGUUUAGGAAAUAUAUGUUAUUCAGCAAAGCAGAUCAGAUGGAUGUGUUGUAGCGGACAGAAUUUUUAAACAGCCUUAGAUAUGAAUUCAUCGAGUUGUUGUUUGAAUGACUGUGGUGAGUAGAAAGAUAACAAAAUUACUGUUAAUGUUUGUUUCUUUAAGGAAAAAAAAAUGUGAAUCCUACCUUAUGUCAGAGGAGGCUUUGAAGCUAUAAUGGACACAGAUCUAAAUUAAAGAAGUACCGCUGAAUUUGUGUUGAUCUAUCCACACGGUGCAACUCAUCUCCCCUUGAGACCAAGGAUACAUCCUGACAAGGUGGGAAAAAAGGAAGCUAAGAAGACGGCUUAAAAAUCUCCAGUGGGAGUUUUAACUCAAAUAGAAUGAAGGUGAUGAUGAAGAUGGUCUGGAAGCACAUUUUCAAGGAACAUGAGUUGAGGUUUUCAAUCUUAGGCCAAAUGAAGGACUGCGUUUUCCUCAGGGAUGAGAUUGCAUUUAUGUUGUUCUUCCUGAAUUUCAUUAGCUUCUCACUCCCAACUUGAAAGAAGACUGUGAAAGGCAAUGAAGACAUUGAGAAUGUGGCAGCAAAUGCUGAAUAUAAAGUAGAAAAAAAUGAAAGUCUUCCCUUUGAAUUUAAAGAAAAUAAUGGUCUUGGCACUCUAAUCGUUGGGUUUGAUAUUGAAACAGCCUGAGGAUUGUCAAAACCAGGGAAAUUGCAUGAAUCUGAAACUUGAGGCCAGAACUGCUUGAAAAGAUAGAUAGAUUCAAGGAUGUGGCCAGGUUGUCGAGAUGGAUUGUACAAAUUUAGCAGGAGUAACUUAAUUUUUUUGUUCUCGCUGUUCUUCAAUAACAAAACCUCCAAAACAGUAAAAGACUAUCAAGGCUUGAAACAGAUGGGAAAAACAGAUGCACCUUGAGUUUUCCUACAGACAAAGCUCGCAAAUAUCCUGGGAGAUAGGCUGAGAAGGAUAUAUUCCUGCGAGCAUUGUGGAUUUGUCCAUCUCAAGCCCCAGAGAUCUGGCUUGUCUGACAGUGGCAAGAUUAACUGUUGCACUUAAAAAACUUAGUUUCAUGAUUUUUGUUAUAAGUAUUAUAA